rnacentral:lncRNA from 10 species
AGAAAAGAAAGAAAGAAAGAAAAGAAAGAAAGAAAGAGAAAAAGAAAGAAAGAAAGUUUGGUUUGGAUAAAGCAUUAAGACACAAAAUCUCUGGAAGGGAACUCUAUUUUUGGUGGUUGUAGGAAUAGGAAGUGAUGAAACAUACCCUUAACUAGUUUAAAGGAAAGUCUAGUCAGUGCUUAAAUAAAAUACCUUGCCAACAUUGUAACUUAAUAUUCUACCAGUUGAAAAGUCAUAGUAAUUGAGUCCAAUAAUAAAUAAUAAUAAUGUUCAUCUGCAAAAGAAUGUUAUCUGAAAUAUACACUAAUAAUAAUGUUCUUAAAACAUGUUUACAUAUUUUUUCAUUGACAUAAUUUUCAUGAUAUUCCACCUUCUGAUCCUGAUGGCAAGUCAAGUCUACUACUUUGAUUAGUUUGUCAUCAUAAUAUGACUAGGGUAAUUUCAUAUUGUGUCCAUUUAAAAAUAGGCACUUAUACUGAGUAGAAAUAAUCAUUUUAAAUCUCAGCUCAGGCCUGGAAUCAGACUGAUGUUGACUUCUUUUCCUCCCUUUGUACACUUACUUUGUAAUAUUGGGUAAAUCUGUUAACCAGAUGGAACCUCAGUUUCAUCAUCUAUAAAGGAGGAUAUUAACACCUACUUUGUUGGAUUCUGAGGAAGAUUAAGUAAUACAAUGAGUUUGGAUAAGUCAUGCAAGUAUAUAGCUCAUGCUUUGCAUUCACUAAAGGGAAGAAUGGGGAGAGGAGAAGCAGAAAGAUAAAAAGAAGAAGAGAAGAAAGAAGGAAUCUGUCUUCCUCACCCCAGGAAGCAGGUAUUCAUGGGCAACAAUUUAGGAAAUGAUACAGAAAGAAAGGAAGGCUGGAAAGACCAAAGAAAAACAGCUACAGUUUUGCCAAGAACCAGCCCCACGCUUCAUGAGAAUUGUGAUACAUUUACAUUUGGCUUUUAAUUUCUGUAUCAAUUUGGACUGUGUUUUUGUGAAAAUGAGAUAAUAUAUGUGAAAGUACCUAGCUGAAUUCUUGGGAUAUGGCAAAAACCCAAUAAAUAUAAGUUUUUACUACUGUGUUAAGCAUCUUCUUGUCGUAAGCAGAAUUUACCCAGUUGAUAAGGAAAAGAUAAAGCUUAGUUGAGCCAAUUAGCAUAAAACAUUUC